GUGAAUAAUAGGAGUGACUUAUCUUUUAUGUUUCCACCAUGAUGGCGAUCAUAGCGACUGUUAAGUAACAUGUUGCGAGAUGUUAAAUGGUUUCGGAUCGUUUAAACUAGACAGUCAUAAAAAUUUUUGAACAGCAAAAUUGUUGCGUUAUGCUGAACGCAAAAAAGUAGUCAAUGUUACUGGUUGAAUAAGGAUAAUUGCCUAUCAAGCUCUUCCUGUCCAAUGGCUCCUGUAAAUUGAUAUCAAACUGCUGUUUUCAACAUAGUAAAUCUGACAAUGAACAAUAUCUUAACCAAUACGUUAUUUCAACAUAUCGGUAAGAGUAUCAUCCAAGUCUGUUUUUUAAGAGAAGUCUAUUUUUUUUUUUUUUUGGUAAUUUUGCUCCAUUUAUGUGAUUAUCAGACCUACUAUGCUGAAACACAGUCUUUAUUAUUUUGUACCUAAGCCUGUAAACUAUUGAAUAAAGAUUUUGAUAAUUAAA